UCCGUAGGGUGCAAGCGUUAAUCGGAAUUACUGGGCGUAAAGCGUGCGCAGGCGGUUUUGUAAGUCAGAUGUGAAAUCCCCGGGCUUAACCUGGGAACUGCGUUUGAAACUACAAGGCUAGAGUGUGGCAGAGGGGGGUGGAAUUCCACGUGUAGCAGUGAAAUGCGUAGAGAUGUGGAGGAACACCGAUGGCGAAGGCAGCCCCCUGGGUUAACACUGACGCUCAGGCACGAAAGCGUGGGGAGCAAACAGG
rnacentral:rRNA from 1 species